GUCAGGGCUGGGUUGUGUGGAGCUACAGGAGGACAAGCCCUGCUUCCCAUGACCUGCUGGGACUGGAGCAGGGCAGCCUGGCUUCCCAACCAUGGAGUUAUUUCAGCUCCUGCACAUCCUGGUAACUUACCGAGCGUUGGGGCACACUGACAAACUGACGUCUGUCUGUCUAUCUGCAUCAGGUAUAGAAACUUGAAAACAGAGAAAUAAAAUCACUUUCCA
rnacentral:lncRNA from 1 species